AUAAAUAAUUAUAUUUAAGAAAAUUUAUUAAAAGUUUAUUUUAUAUAUAAAUUUUAGUGUUAAUUUUUUAUUAUUUUAAUAAUAAUAAUAGUAAAUUAUAUAGUAAAUAAAAUUAAAAAUUUAAGAAAUUAAGAUUUAGUAAUAUAAAAAUUAAUAACAAAUUUUGUGCCAGCAGUGCGGUUAUACAAAAAUUAAAUUAAAUUAUUUCAGUUUAUAAAAAAUAAAUUUUUUUAAAAUAAAUAUUAAAUUAUUAGGUGAAAUUUUAAUUUAAUUAAAUUUUAUAUGAGAAUUAUGUUUUAGUAAAUUUUAUUAUAAACUAGGAUUAGAUACCCUAUUAUUAAAAAUUUAAAUUAUAAUACUAAAAUAGUAAAUAAUUAUUUAUUGAAACUUAAAUAAUAUGGCGGUAUUUUAGUUCAUUUAGAGGAAUCUGUUUAAUAAUUGAUAAUCCACGAAUAAAUUUACUUAAUUUAAAAUUUUAUAUAUCGUUGUUAAAAAAAUAUUUUUUAUUAAUUUAUAAUAUUUGAAAAUUAUAAUAAAAAAUUAAUUCAGAUCAAGAUGUAGAUUAUAAUUAAGAAUAUAAUGGAUUACAAUAAAUUUAUUUAAAUGAAUAUAAAAUUGAAAAAUUUUAUUGAAGGUGGAUUUAAAUGUAAUUUUAUUUAAUUUCUUAAAAUGAUUAAAAAUUAAAAUAUGUACAUAUUGCCCGUCACUUUCAUUUAAAAAUUGGAAUAAGUCGUAACAAAGUAGAGGUACUGGAAAGUGUUUCUAGAAAGAU
rnacentral:ncRNA from 1 species